AAACCUAAAUAGGCUAUGGCAUCCAUGGGAAAGAGAAAAAGUUGAAUACUUUACUUUGGGUGAUCUUUGGAAUUGUUAUGAUGAAUGGAGUGCUUAUGGUGCUGGAGUUCCAAUCAGAUUAGAUUCUGGUGAAACUUUAGUUCAAUAUUAUGUGCCUUAUCUUUCAGCAAUUCAAAUUUUCACCAGCAGUUCAUCUGUAAGCAUUUUAAGGGAGGAGACUGAGUCUGCGUGGGAAAUGAGGGAUUCUUGCAGUGAUUCAUUCAGUGAAGAGAGUGAGAGUGAAAAGCUUUCGAGAUCGGAUGGGGGUUCAUCGGAGGAAGGUUUAUUUGAGCAAGAUAAUCAGUUACAAAUGAAUAAUAGAUUGGGUUACCUUUAUUAUCAAUACUUUGAAAGAUCUUCUCCAUAUGGAAGAGUACCUCUGGUGGAUAAGAUUAGUAGCUUAGCUGAAAGACACCCCGGAUUAAUGUCAUUGAGAAGCGUAGAUCUUUCACCAGCUAGUUGGAUGUCAGUUGCUUGGUACCCGAUAUAUCACAUUCCCAUGGGAAGAACCAUUAAGGACUUGUCGACCUGCUUUCUCACAUUCCACACCCUUUCUUCUUCUUUUCAAGAUAUGGACCUUGAUGAUGACAUGGAGAAUGGCAAACGAAAACGAAAGGAAGGAGAAAGUAUCCCCCUUGCACCUUUCGGCUUGGGCACUUACAAAAUGCAGGGAGAUGUGUGGCUUUCAGACAGGAGUGGGAAGGACCAAGAGAGGCUGUCAACACUUUUUAGUGUUGCUGAUUCUUGGCUAAAGCAGUUGGGUGUCCAGCACCACGACUUUAACUAUUUCAUGGGUAGUUGUCGUGGCUAAUCACAUCUCAAAUGAAUGAAUUCGCGCUUUAUAAAACCCCACCAACGGGGCUGAGUAAUAACUGGAGUUCCUUUCAUUAAAACAUAGGCUCUCUGAGGUGUUUUUGGUUUGUUGCUUUCGGUAGCAUGAACAGCCUUAGAACUCCCUCCUGUAUAAAGGCAUUAGUGUUUUACGCGUUGUUCUCCGAAUCCUUAGCUUGAGCUUUCUGUGACUUGUUUUUUUUUGUAUGUAUAGGGAGAGGACUAAUUGUGUAGGACUUCAUCUUUACAUGACUCUUAUGAUGACCCCUAGUACUUUGUGAGCAAUACUUUGCUUCAUCUUUUGUAUAAAUUUUGAAGUACCUUUUUUGGUGUUUCAUCUGUGCUUUUUCCUUGUAAUAUGUUCAUGUAAAUAGUUCAUCUUUCAAUAGUAAAA
rnacentral:misc_RNA from 1 species